rnacentral:tRNA from 1 species
GGUGAGAUGGCCGAGUUGGUUAUGGCGCCAGGUUAAGGUCACUCCUUAGCAUCUAUUUCCUGGUCACGAAAGUGGCGUGGGUUCGAGUCCCACUCUCAUCA